rnacentral:rRNA from 1 species
AGUUUGAUCAUGGCUCAGAUUGAACGCUGGCGGCAGGCCUAACACAUGCAAGUCGAGCGGAAACACAAGGGAGCUUGCUCCUGAGGUGUCGAGCGGCGGACGGGUGAGUAAUGCCUAGGUAUCUGCCCAGUCGAGGGGGAUAACAGUUGGAAACGACUGCUAAUACCGCAUACGCCCUACGGGGGAAAGGAGGGGACCUUCGGGCCUUUCGCGAUUGGAUGAACCUAGGUGGGAUUAGCUAGUAGGUGGGGUAAUGGCUCACCUAGGCAACGAUCCCUAGCUGGUCUGAGAGGAUGAUCAGCCACACUGGAACUGAGACACGGUCCAGACUCCUACGGGAGGCAGCAGUGGGGAAUAUUGCACAAUGGGCGAAAGCCUGAUGCAGCCAUGCCGCGUGUAUGAAGAAGGCCUUCGGGUUGUAAAGUACUUUCAGCGAGGAGGAAAGGUAGGUAGUUAAUAACUGCUUACUGUGACGUUACUCGCAGAAGAAGCACCGGCUAACUUCGUGCCAGCAGCCGCGGUAAUACGAGGGGUGCAAGCGUUAAUCGGAAUUACUGGGCGUAAAGCGUACGCAGGCGGUUUGUUAAGCAAGAUGUGAAAGCCCCGGGCUCAACCUGGGAACUGCAUUUUGAACUGGCAAACUAGAGUCUUGUAGAGGGGGGUAGAAUUUCAGUGUAGCGGUGAAAUGCGUAGAGAUCUG